UUGAGACAGGGACUUGCUAAAUGGCUGAAGCUGAACCAGAACUUGUGAUCUUCCUGCCUCAGGCUCUCCAGUUGUUAGAAUUACAGGUAGGUACCACACUGCUCCCAGCAGACUUGGACUAUAUUAAUUAACCAAAAUUAACUUGGAUCUUGGUGCCAUUCCAGGAACAUUCUGUUAGUUGGCCCAAUUCAAUUCUGCAAAUGUUGGCCAAUCACUUAAAAUUUGCUAAAAAUAUGUAACAGAGUAAUAGAAUUAAGGCCUUUCAGGAUGUCUCAAUCUUUCCAUGGAGACAAAAUAACUCAACAAUUGAAUGUGAGACAAAAGUAAUAACAAUAGUGCUUCCUGGAAAAAAUACACUUUUUUUUUUUUUGAUGCCAGGGUUCAAACCCAGGGAUUCCAUGCAUGCUAGGCAAAUAUUCUACCAAUAAACUAUACCCCUACUAAACUCCCUUCAUUGUUUUUUAUUGUGUUUUAAAAACAUAAAGUUCACAUUUUUAACUGUUUUAAAAUGUAUGAUUCAAUGACAUUUAGUAUAAUGAAAAUGUUGUGUAACUAUCUCCAUAAUAUUUUCAUCACCCCAAAACAAAACACUGUAUUCAUUACUUUGUCACUGUACAACCUCUGGCAACCACCA
rnacentral:lncRNA from 1 species